ensembl:lncRNA
GUGGGAAUCCAGCUGUCCAUGGCUUGGGGACUCUGCAGGUGUAGAUUGCCUGGGGACAGUCAAGGGGUGGUGAAUGCUUGGGUCGCAGCUGACAGGGCGGAGGGAAGGCCGGGUGGGCAGAACAAUGGGAGUGCGGUGCAGGGAUUGUGGGAGAGAAUCUAGGCUGGAGCCACAGUGUCUGGAGCGCCCCUCCACUCCCCUCAUCCAGCUUUUGUUCAGCUGCAAAAGCUAUCAGCACUUCCUACUGACACCAACAAUAACUCCACACAGCUGGGCCCUUUUUAGCCUGUUUACAGCACAUCAAGGCAAGGGGAGAGAGAAGACAGAGGGAAGAGGCAGAGGAGGGGAAAGAAAAGUGAAACAUAUUAGCUCCUGAUUUUAACUGACAGAAUGGCAGUGCCCUCUCUCAGCUCCCCUUCCCUCCUUCGUCGCUGACACAAUUCAUUUCCCAGUGGACUCUUUAUAUGUGAGCUGAUUAUGACUUUUAAAUCUGCGACUGUGUCAGCGCUGUCGCAACAUCAUGCAUCUAUCAAACGGCUGAAAAGCAACACUUAUCCUUUUUUUUUCUGGGACAUUGUGUCUCUUGGCUAUAUUUACUCCAGCACACAAACAGUUUCCCAGUAGCGUUUUUCAGCAUAAAUUGUUCCAUUUGGUGGAGGGGAAACAUAUUAGCUAAUACGCCCUCUUUAUCGCUACAGCAAAUAGAUCUACAAAAGCACACUACAGGAAGUCACAAGGGGGAAAAGCUGGUGCAGGAAUUCACUCAGAGGAAAUAGGACAUUCCACUAGUGCUUUGACACUUUUGCUGCUGUUAUUAUUGCUGCAAGGACAAUAAGUCGAGCCCAUACUACUUCCCGAAACAUGAAAGUGACCAAAGUACAAUAAUGGCGGAUGAGAAUAAACGGUUUCUUAGACAGAGGAUUUUACUUCAGUGUGAUUAUUGAGAUACACUGUUGAAAAGAAAUGGGGAGGAAUUUGAUUAUGAGAGGAGAGCACCACAUGCAAGUUUUCAACAAUUUUUACUAACACACACACACACACACACACACACACACACACACACACACACACACACACACACACACACACACACACACAGACAGAGACCAUCUCCUCACAGCUGUGGGAUUAGUUUCCAGUUCCCAGUCAGGCUCUUCCUGUUUGCUUGAUAAUGAUCACACCUGUGUGCAGGUGUGUGGAGAGGCUCAUAUGGGACUGGGAGGGGUGAGCGUGGUGUCAGAUACAAAAACUGUUACCACAACCACAAUGUCACAUCUGUCCUUGGCUGAAUGAUGAUUGACUGGUUGCAUCAUCAGGAACAGGAGGAGGAAGUUUGCGCUGAGUGUAAGAGUUUGUGUCACACCUUCUGUGGGUGUUUGUUGCGCAUGUUUCCGCCUGUGCUGCCCCGGCGUGGCCCUGCCACCUCCCUGGGCAGCCCAGCCUCGGUAAUGACUGAGGAGCGGCGGUUAGGCCUCGCUUCCUGUGGGAGUCCUGGUUCAGAGAUGUGUCAUCAGCAGUGCAGACCGGCUGGAGCCUCGCCGCCUGUUGGGUGUUUUUCCUAGACUGGUGGGCAGACGGUGCCCUUCCCUGGGAGCCAGGGGCAGGUUACAGGAAC